AUACGGAGGGUGCAAGCGUUAUCCGGAUUUACUGGGUUUAAAGGGUGCGUAGGCUGAUAGGUAAGUCAGUGGUGAAAUCCUGGAGCUUAACUCCAGAACUGCCAUUGAUACUAUCUAUCUUGAAUAUUGUGGAGGUUUGCGGAAUAUGUCAUGUAGCGGUGAAAUGCUUAGAUAUGACAUGGAACACCUAUUGCGAAGGCAGCAGGCUACACAUAUAUUGACGCUGAGGCACGAAAGCGUGGGGAUCAAACAGGAUUAGAUACCCUGGUAGUCCACGCCCUAAACGAUGAUUACUCGACAUACGCGAUACACUGUGUGUGUCUGAGCGAAAGCAUUAAGUAAUCCACCUGGGAAGUACGACCGCAAGGUUGAA
rnacentral:rRNA from 1 species